UAGUUGCUCUCCAGAACUGAAGUUACAGUUUCUUAGCAACGAUGUGAAUUGCGAACAGAUCCAAGGAGGAACUAUACAGGAACAGACAGAUUUCUCAGAGGAGUAGAAAAGAAUGCAAUGGUUGUUAGCUGUGUUGAUCCUUCUUCA